GUUUAAAAUUUCAUAUAUGUUAGUACAAAAAUACAUAGAAAUACAUCACCUUCUAAAAUGGCUUUCUUAAACUUUUCUUUCCAAUUUAUUACAAAUUUAAUUUACUAGUUUUAGUGCUUGAUGACUUUAAUUACCAGUGCACCUGGAAUGAUAUUGACAACAGGAAGACAGUCUGACUCACCUUUAGUAUUCACAGGUCUUUUCCAGUUUCCAAACCCUUCCUUAGCAGUAAUUUAGAAGAGAUAGGGUAGCUUCAUGGAAGGAGCUCACAAUCUGGAGUCCAAACCUGGGUAUGUGGUUCUGCCACUGCCUCUGUGACCCUGAUUAGGCAAGUUACUUAAAUUAACUUCCUCCUUUAUAGUGAGUGAAUGACCCUUGCAAAACAAGGAUUAAAUGUGUUGACAUUUGCCAAGGUGCUUUGAAAUUGUAAAAUCCUGUACAGUUUCAGUGUACUCUAAAUUUUCAAAGCUCUAAAGCAGGUAUCAGCAUACAUUUUUUCUGUAAAGAACCAGAGAGUAAAUAUUUCAGGUUUUACUGACAAUACAAUCUCUAUUGCCUCUACUAAUCUCUGCUGUUGGUGAUGCAAAGGCAGCCACUGCCUAUCUGUAAACAAAGGCGUUGCCAUAGUUUGUUAACUCUGCUGUAGACUUUCAGAGCUAGAGGAAUUUGAGAAGUUUCCUGAUGGAGUUUUCUUAGAAGGGAUUUAAGAAUUGGCAUCUGAGAAUCUUGGAGCUAGUUAUUCCUAGAUUACUAGGCCAGCUUUGCAGCAUUUCCCAAUUGUCUUAUCGGGGGCAAAUUAUUUAAGCUUUCUGUGUUUUGAUAGUCUCAUCUCUAAUUGAAGGUAAUUAUAUAUAAUAUAUGAAGGUGUUGGGAGAAUUAGACACUUAGAGUACUCAGGACAGUAUGGGAAACAUAGGAAGCACCUGAGAGAUGUUAGCUGUGAUGAUCACCUGUCCAUUUUACAGAGAAGGGAGUGGAAGUCCAGAUGUAGUUAAGGACUUGUCUAAGACUACAGUAAUAGUUGGGGCUUGCCUGGUGGCUCACAUGGUAAAGAAUCUGCCUGCAAUGCAGGAGACCCGAGUUCGGGUGGAAUGGAAAAGAUCCCCUGGAGAAGGGCAUGGCAACCCACUCCAGUAUUCUUGCCUAGAGAAUUCCAUGGACAGAGGAGCCUGGCAGGCUAAAGUCCAUGGUGUCACAGAGUUGAACACAACUGGAGCUACUAACACUUCCAGUUUUACUUCACAGUAAUAGUGGCAGAACCAGACAUGCUUGUGCAACAACCCCUUUGAGCCUUUGUCACUUGAACUGAAAAAUGAGGGGGUUGGACAACAGCAUCUCUCACAACCUUCUAGUUCCAUUGCCCUUACUCUACUAACUGACACCCUAGGGCUUAAAGAACGAAUUUACCUCCCUAAGUGCCUUCCAGUCUGGAAAUUAUUUACUAUGCAGCAUCAGUAAAUUGUCACACACACACACACACACAAAAUGCAGGCACCAGAGAGGGCGACUCUGAUGUGGCAUUAAUAUAAAAUAAAUAUAUUUUUAUAGAAUAUGUAAUUAUAAAUAUUAUACAUUGUAUAUGUGAACAUAUUGUUGUUCAGUCGCUAAGUCAUGUCUGACUCUUUGCAACCCCUCGGACUGCAGCUCAUCAAGCUCCCCUGUCUCCCACUAUCUCCUGGAGUUUGUCAAAUUCAAUGUCUGUAGAGUCAAUGAUACUAUCUAACUAUCUCAUCCUCCACCAGUCCCUUUUCCUUUUGCCUUCAGUCUUUCUCACCAUCAGGGUCUUUUCCAGUGAGUCGAUUCUUCGCAUCAGGUGGCUAAAGUAUUGGAGCUUCAGCUUCAGCACCAGUCAUCCCAAUGAGAAUAUUCAGGGUUGAUUUCCUUUAGGAUUGACUGGUUUGAUCUCCUUGCUGUCCAAAGGACUCAAGAAUCUUCUCCAGGAGUACAAUUCAAAAGCAUCGAUUCUUCAGUGCUCAGCCUUCUUUAUAGUCCAACUGUCACAUCUGUAUAUGACUGCUGGAGAAACCAUAGCUUUGACUAUAUGGACCUUUGUCAGCAAAGUGAUGUCUCUGCUUUUUAAUAUGCUGUCUAGGUUUUUCAUGUCUUUCCUUCCAAGGAGCAAGUAUCUUUUAAUUUCAUGGCUGCAGUCACUGUCCACAGUGAUUUGGGAGACCAAGAAAAUAAAAUCUGUUACUGCAUCCACUUCUUCCCCGUCUCCUUGCCAUGAACUGAUGGGACUGGAUGCCAUGACCUUAAGUUUUUUGAUGUUGUGUGUAUAUACAUGUAUGAUACAUCACAUGCCUUAAGUAUCAGAGAAGGGAGCCAAGUCCUUGGCAAUUAGUAUGGUAAAUAAUUGCAUUGAAUACAUUUCAAUCAUUUUUAAAUGUUUCUCAGGGACUUUUAAGGUGCACAUUCUAAUACAAAUUGAGUAUUUAUGUACCCAAGUUCAGAUUAUUUUGACAAAAUGAUUAAAGCAAUGAG
ensembl:lncRNA